CUACGGGGUGCUCCAGUGGGGAAUAUUGCACAAUGGGGGAAACCCUGAUGCAGCAACGCCGCGUGGAGGAUGACGCAUUUCGGUGUGUAAACUCCUUUUAUAUAGGAAGAUAAUGACGGUACUAUAUGAAUAAGCACCGGCUAACUCCGUGCCAGCAGCCGCGGUAAUACGGAGGGUGCAAGCGUUACUCGGAAUCACUGGGCGUAAAGCGCGCGCAGGCGGCCCCUUAAGUUGGAUGUGAAAGCCUACGGCUUAACCGUAGAACUGCAUCCAAAACUGAGGGGCUAGAGUCUGGGAGGGGAAGAUGGAAUUAGUUGUGUAGGGGUAAAAUCCGUAGAGAUAACUAGGAAUACCAAAAGCGAAGGCGAUCUUCUGGAACAGUACUGACGCUGAGGCGCGAAAGCGUGGGGAGCAAACAGGAUUAGAUACCCCAGUAGUC
rnacentral:rRNA from 1 species